GUUAAGCGACUAAGCGUACACGGUGGAUGCCCUGGCAGUCAGAGGCGAUGAAGGGCGUGCUAAUCUGCGAUAAGCGCCGGUAAGGUGAUAUGAACCGUUAUAACCGGCGAUACCCGAAUGGGGAAACCCAGUGUGAUUCGUCACACUAUCAUUAACUGAAUCCAUAGGUUAAUGAGGCGAACCGGGGGAACUGAAACAUCUAAGUACCCCGAGGAAAAGAAAUCAACCGAGAUUCCCCCAGUAGCGGCGAGCGAACGGGGAGGAGCCCAGAGCCUGAAUCAGCAUGUGUGUUAGUGGAAGCGUCUGGAAAGGCGCGCGAUACAGGGUGACAGCCCCGUACACAAAAGCGCAUAUGCUGUGAGCUCGAUGAGUAGGGCGGGACACGUGGUAUCCUGUCUGAAUAUGGG
rnacentral:rRNA from 1 species